AUACGUAGGUGACAAGCGUUAUCCGGAUUUACUGGGCGUAAAGGGCGUGUAGGCGGUCUUGCAAGUCAGAAGUGAAAUUCCUGAGCUCAACUCGGGCGCUGCUUCUGAAACUGCAGGACUUGAGUGCUGGAGGGGAUAGCGGAAUUCCUAGUGGAGCGGUAAAAUGCGCAGAUAUUAGGAAGAACACCGGUGGCGAAGGCGGCUAGCUGGACAUGAACUGACGCUGAGGCGCGAAAGCGUGGGGAGCAAAAAGGAUUAGAUACCCGGGUAGUCCACGCCGUAAACGAUGAAUACUAGGUGUAGGGGGUAUCGACUCCCUCUGUGCCGCAGUUAACACAAUAAGUAUUCCGCCUGGGGAGUACGGCCGCAAGGUUGAAACUCAAAUGAAUUGACGGGG
rnacentral:rRNA from 1 species